AUGACCCUUGAGUCUGCAGAACCCAAGGGAAAAAGGCUUAGGUGGCAAAUGGUAAAACCAAGGUUGGGCCUUGCUGGAGGAGUUUUAUUCAAAGCGAAUUGUCAAGGGGUUCCCAUUAUAACCCAACCGCGUAAGGAACGCAAAAUCAAGGAACAUAACACCGGUAUGACGAAAACUAGGGCGGCAAGAUUGGAACAAAACACCAGGCAUAAGGCUGAGCCUUCCACCCUUUACCAAGUAUAUAGGUGCAUUAAAGUAAACAAGAUAUAUUGUGAUAUCCAAAACAAUAACCAUGUUCCAACAUGGAACAAAAUCCAAUCUUCACCUGCAACUAGCAACGCUAUAAGAGGGGCUGAGCAAAGCAGUAACAUAGCCAAACAACGGUUUGCUAGAAAAGGUGGGUUAGAGGCUUGA
rnacentral:rRNA from 1 species